rnacentral:rRNA from 1 species
UACAGAGGGUGCAAGCGUUGUUCGGAAUUACUGGGCGUAAAGCGCGUGUAGGUGGCGAUGUAAGUCGGGUGUGAAAUCCCUCAGCUUAACUGAGGAAGUGCACUCGAUACUGUGUCGCUUGAGUGUUGGAGGGGAUGGCGGAAUUCCCGGUGUAGAGGUGAAAUUCGUAGAUAUCGGGAGGAACACCUGUGGCGAAGGCGGCCAUCUGGACAACUACUGACACUGAGACGCGGAAGCGUGGGUAGCAAACAGG